AAAGGCCUACCAAGACAAUGAUGCAUAGCCGAGUUGAGAGACUGAUCGGCCACAUUGGGACUGAGACACGGCCCAAACUCCUACGGGAGGCUGCAGUAGGGAAUCUUCCACAAUGGGCGAAAGCCUGAUGGAGCAACGCCGCGUGUGUGAUGAAGGCUUUCGGGUCGUAAAGCACUGUUGUAUGGGAAGAAAAGUUAAGGUAGGGAAUGACCUUAGCCUGACGGUACCAUACCAGAAAGGGACGGCUAAAUACGUGCCAGCAGCCGCGGUAAUACGUAUGUCCCGAGCGUUAUCCGGAUUUAUUGGGCGUAAAGCGAGCGCAGACGGUUGGUUAAGUCUGAUGUGAAAGCCCGGAGCUCAACUCCGGAAAGGCAUUGGAAACUGGUUAACUUGAGUGCAGUAGAGGUAAGUGGAACUCCAUGUGUAGCGGUGGAAUGCGUAGAUAUAUGGAAGAACACCAGCGGCGAAGGCGGCUUACUGGACUGUAACUGACGUUGAGGCUCGAAAGUGUGGGUAGCAAACAGGAUUAGAUACCCUGGUAGUCCACACCGUAAACGAUGAACACUAGGUGUUAGGAGGUUUCCGCCUCUUAGUGCCGAAGCUAACGCAUUAAGUGUUCCGCCUGGGGAGUACGACCGCAAGGUUGAAACUCAAAGGAAUUGACGGGGACCCGCACAAGCGGUGGAGCAUGUGGUUUAAUUCGAAGCAACGCGAAGAACCUUACCAGGUCUUGACAUCCUUUGAAGCUUUUAGAAAUAGAAGUGUUCUCUUCGGAGACAAAGUGACAGGUGGUGCAUGGUCGUCGUCAGCUCGUGUCGUGAGAUGUUGGGUUAAGUCCCGCAACGAGCGCAACCCUUAUUGUUAGUUGCCAGCAUUCAGAUGGGCACUCUAGCGAGACUGCCGGUGACAAACCGGAGGAAGGCGGGGACGACGUCAGAUCAUCAUGCCCCUUAUGACCUGGGCUACACACGUGCUACAAUGGCGUAUACAACGAGUUGCCAACCUGCGAAGGUGAGCUAAUCUCUUAAAGUACGUCUCAGUUCGGACUGCAGUCUGCAACUCGACUGCACGAAGUCGGAAUCGCUAGUAAUCGCGGAUCAGCACGCCGCGGUGAAUACGUUCCCGGGUCUUGUACACACCGCCCGUCACACCAUGGAAGUUUGUAAUGCCCAAAGCCGGUGGCCUAACCGUAAGGAGGAACC
rnacentral:rRNA from 1 species